rnacentral:rRNA from 1 species
UACGAAGGGGGCUAGCGUUGCUCGGAAUCACUGGGCGUAAAGCGCACGUAGGCGGACUCUUAAGUCGGGGGUGAAAUCCUGGAGCUCAACUCCAGAACUGCCUUCGAUACUGGGAGUCUUGAGUUCGGGAGAGGUGAGUGGAACUGCGAGUGUAGAGGUGAAAUUCGUAGAUAUUAGGAAGAACACCAGUGGCGAAGGCGGCUCACUGGCCCGGUACUGACGCUGAGACGCGAAAGCGUGGGGAGCGAACAGG